GAGGUGCUAGUAAAAUGAUUACCCUGCCUUGUCGGGACAGAAUUGUAGGUUCAACCCCUGCGCCCCUUA
rnacentral:tRNA from 1 species